AGUCACUGACAUUAGAUACCCGUGUAGUCCAGGGUGUAAACGCUGCAGACUUGGUGUUGGAAGUCCUUUGGGGGCAUUCAGUGCCGGAGAGAAGUUGUUAAGUCUGCUACUUGGGAGUACGUCCGCAAGGAUGAAACUUAAAGGAAUUGGCGGGGGGAGCACCGCAACGGGAGGAGCGUGCGGUUUAAUUGGAUUCAACACCGUAAAACUCACCAGGGAAGACUGUUACAUGAAAGCCGAGAUGAAGACUCUGCUAGAUUUUCAG
rnacentral:rRNA from 1 species